UACGUAGGGUGCAAGCGUUAAUCGGAAUUACUGGGCGUAAAGCGUGCGCAGGCGGUUUUGUAAGUCUGACGUGAAAUCCCCGGGCUCAACCUGGGAAUUGCGUUUGGAGACUGCAAGGCUAGAAUCUGGCAGAGGGGGGGUAGAAUUCCACGUGUAGCAGUGAAAUGCGUAGAGAUGUGGAGGAACACCGAUGGCGAAGGCAGCCCCCUGGGUCAAGAUUGACGCUCAUGCACGAAAGCGUGGGGAGCAAACAGG
rnacentral:rRNA from 1 species